rnacentral:lncRNA from 1 species
CACAUACUCUAUGUUAUUUAUUUGUUUACAAAAUUUUUAAAGGUUGGCUGAAAUGCCUGGGCUUCAGUGACCCUCCCACCUCAGCCUCCUGAGUAGCUGGGACCACAGGCACAUGCCACCACAUCUGGCUUGGUCCCCUGCCUUAGAACAAAGUUUUCUUGAGCUAGUGGUCUGCUCAUAGUAAAACUGCAAGAGGUUUAGAUUUUUAAUUCUCUGCAGUACUUUUCUGUUUUUUUAUUUUCUCCAUUUAAUUUCCCUUGUUUCAGGUCAGAAAUGCUGUCUUCUUCAUUUAGAGUGGAAAUUUCAUUCCUUGAGGUAGAGCUUUCCUCUUAGAGCAUCUCAGACUCGUGUUUCAGAAGUUCAGCUUUUGCUACAUUUUGCAGCCUGUGAUUCUCAGGACACGCACCACUGCCUCCAGCUCCUUCUCCCCAUCAGAGGGCCUGGGAUGGUGACGCUGUGCUUCAGCCUUUUUGUCAGCUCCUGUAUCUCUCCCCUCUGAUUCUAACUCUUUGUUAUGAGCUGAUGCUGAAAUGUCUGUCUUGAAGACCUGGAAAAACAAUGUUUUCUUCCCGUAUAAUUUCACCCGUCUUCCUGGGUUUUCUUGAUGUGUCUGAAUUGUCCGUGUAACCAGGAAACUUCUCAUGCUUUUGGUUUUCCUAACAGCCACGUAUUCUCCUGCUCAAGCUACUAACUGUCUCGUUUACAUUCCUCUCUAAUAUGGUGUGCGCUCAAAACCUUGGACACACGCACACUCUUCCCGUGUCUGGUUAAACUGAGUACAUUUUCAUCAGGUUUGACUUUCAGGUAAACUAAACGGGUGUCCCAUAAGUGGAAGAAAUCACAUGGCAGGAGGUUCUUCUUUACCUUUUUGGUGACUGGCCUCAAAAAACAAAGAUUUUCAAGAUAACUUCCUGAGUUGCCUUUAUUUGUUUUUUAAAUUACUUAGGAAAACUGAGUUUUGAAAGGGUUGUUUUUUUAAUCCAUGUAUCUUUCUGUAUUGCUUUUGAAGUAUUUGACUAUCACUCUGGUUAAAUAAAUGACUGUUAUUUCACAGUGACCUGUGAUCCUGUUUUGAUCAAGUGUUUUGAACCUUUUGACAUCUUUGGCAGCUGGAAGACUCAGGGUGGGUGGAAGACACCAGCGAGCCAGGAGGUGGGGAGAAGCCCUGGCUAUCUGCAGAACCGGGCAGGUCUCAGCUGAGGGAGGCCUGUGGCCCAGCAGGAGGCCCAGCAGCUGGUGGGAGUGGGCAGGGGAAUGCCCUGGUGGGGGAGUUGGGAGGGGACAGGGGACCUUGAGGGCCUCAGCUGCGUCAGGGCUUGCACUUCCACUGGAGUUGAGAGGGGAGCUGUGAAGCCUCCUGCUUGGUGGCAGUGUCUGAUGUGAUCCCAAAGGCCCCUCUGCCACUCAUAGCUGCCAGGAGGCUCAUCCACAGCCCGUGGUGCCUGUGCUGCCCACAGAGGCAGGAGGACGGCUAGAACCCAGGAGUUCGAGACCAGCCUGGGCAACAUAAAGAGACCCUGUCUCUAAAAAAAUCUAAAAAUUAGCCAGGCAUGGUGGCACGUGCCUAUAGUCCCAGCUAUGUGGGAGGCCAAGGCACGCUGUCUCUCCAACAAACAAACAAACAAACAAAAUGAAAAAACAAACAAGGAGAGGACACUAAGCUAAGUGAAAUAGGCCAGUCCAGCCACAAAAGGACAAACACUGUGAGAUCCCACGCAAGUGAGGCCCCAGAGUGGCCACAUUCAUAGAGAGAAAGUAGAGGCUGCGGGAAGCGGGGGGGACGAUGGGGAGUUAUUGCUUAAAUGAGGACAUUUUACCAACAUUUUAAAAUAAAGUUCUCUCUGAGUGCUUUGUGGAGACUGGACUACAGGGGGCUGGAAAAAGGGAGACGGUGAGGAGGCGACUCCCCAAGCCCAGGUGAGGGGCUGGGACCAAGAGCAGAGAGGCAUGGGGUGGAGAGAAUUCCCAGGGCUGUAGGGAUGGAGCUGACAGGGCUUCUGGAAGGAUUGUUGAGGGCUCAGGGAAGGGGACAUGGAAAGGCGGGGGACAGGUAUCGCUUAUAAACACCCGGGAGGAGCAGGCAAAAAUGGGAGGGAGGGGACCCAGACCCGACAGGCUCCAGACGGAAAGGGGUAGGCACUGGCCGGCCGGAGAGGUGCGGGUCGCCGAGGGGGCGCCAGGUUUGUUUUGUUUGGAUGUGAGGGAAUCUCAACCCGUUUGCUAGAAAGAACAGUAGGGUGGGGGCUGUGCCUUGGGAGGAGGCGGCUGGGAGGAAGCGAAGGUGCACGGGCGGCCCGACGGCACAGCGAUGUCCCCAGGAGAGGAGGGGGAGAGGGAGUGUGUCGGGCGGCGG